rnacentral:rRNA from 1 species
GAGUUUGAUCGUGGCUCAGAUUGAACGCUGGCGGCAUACCUUACACAUGCAAGUCGAACGGUAACAGGUUAAGCUGACGAGUGGCGAACGGGUGAGUAAUGUAUCGGAACGUGCCCAGUCGUGGGGGAUAACUGCUCGAAAGAGCAGCUAAUACCGCAUACGACCUGAGGGUGAAAGCGGGGGAUCGCAAGACCUCGCGCGAUUGGAGCGGCCGAUAUCAGAUUAGGUAGUUGGUGGGGUAAAGGCCUACCAAGCCGACGAUCUGUAGCUGGUCUGAGAGGACGACCAGCCACACUGGGACUGAGACACGGCCCAGACUCCUACGGGAGGCAGCAGUGGGGAAUUUGGACAAUGGACGCAAGUCUGAUCCAGCCAUGCCGCGUGCGGGAAGAAGGCCUUC